rnacentral:rRNA from 1 species
GACGAACGCUGGCGGCGUGCCUAAUACAUGCAAGUCGAGCGAGGUUAUAAGAAGUGCUUGCACUUUUUAUAACCUAGCGGCGGACGGGUUAGUAACACGUGGGUAACCUGCCCUACAGACUGGGAUAACUUCGGGAAACCGGAGCUAAUACCGGAUAAUUCUUUUAGCCUCAUGGCUUUAAGCUGAAAGGCGCUUCGGCGUCACUGUAGGAUGGACCCGCGGUGCAUUAGCUAGUUGGUGAGGUAACGGCUCACCAAGGCAACGAUGCAUAGCCGACCUGAGAGGGUGAUCGGCCACAUUGGGACUGAGACACGGCCCAA